GCAGUCGAACGGUAACAGGUCUUCGGAUGCUGACGAGUGGCGAACGGGUGAGUAAUACAUCGGAACGUGCCCGAUCGUGGGGGAUAACGCAGCGAAAGCUGUGCUAAUACCGCAUACGAUCUACGGAUGAAAGCGGGGGACUCGCAAGGGCCUCGCGCGGACGGAGCGGCCGAUGGCAGAUUAGGUAGUUGGUGGGAUAAAAGCUUACCAAGCCGACGAUCUGUAGCUGGUCUGAGAGGACGACCAGCCACACUGGGACUGAGACACGGCCCAGACUCCUACGGGAGGCAGCAGUGGGGAAUUUUGGACAAUGGGCGCAAGCCUGAUCCAGCCAUGCCGCGUGCAGGAUGAAGGCCUUCGGGUUGUAAACUGCUUUUGUACGGAACGAAAAAGCCUUCUCUAAUAAAGGGGGUGAAUGACGGUACCGUAAGAAUAAGCACCGGCUAACUACGUGCCAGCAGCCGCGGUAAUACGUAGGGUGCAAGCGUUAAUCGGAAUUACUGGGCGUAAAGCGUGCGCAGGCGGUUAUGUAAGACAGAGGUGAAAUCCCCGGGCUCAACCUGGGAACUGCCUUUGUGACUGCAUAGCUGGAGUGCGGCAGAGGGGGAUGGAAUUCCGCGUGUAGCAGUGAAAUGCGUAGAUAUGCGGAGGAACACCGAUGGCGAGGCAAUCCCCUGGGCCUGCACUGACGCUCAUGCACGAAAGCGUGGGGAGCAAACAGGAUUAGA
rnacentral:rRNA from 1 species